CACCUCUCAGGAUCACAUCUGGAUGAAUGAAUGAAUGAGUACCAGUCUUGGCUACGAGAGGAAAAGUCAAGCAGAGGCAUACCUAUUCCAUUCCUAGCUUGGGCAGUGGCUAGCAAAUGGAAGGCAAUCUGCUACAAGU